CUUUGAGUAAUCUGCUAAUUCUUCCACUGUGCUGUCCCCUUCAGACUCAGCAGCAAAUUCCUUAACUGAAUCCACAGUUAUUUCAGAUGCUGAUAGUGCAGCUUGCUCUCUCAAAAACUAAAGAAAAGAUGAGCUCCACAUCAGUUAAUUUGUAGUAGUAGCAGUACAUGAUAAAUUUCCAUUCUAACUCUGCAGAGAUACCUACUUUCAUAAUCUUGUGCCGGGCGCAACGAGUUUUUGCAUGUUGAAGCCACUGUUUAUGUCUCUCGAAAGCAG
rnacentral:lncRNA from 1 species